rnacentral:rRNA from 1 species
UGGGGAUAUUGCACAAUGGGCGCAAGCCUGAUGCAGCGACGCCGCGUGAGGGAUGACGGCCUUCGGGUUGUAAACCUCUUUCAGUAGGGAAGAAGCGUAAGUGACGGUACCUGCAGAAGAAGCGCCGGCUAACUACGUGCCAGCAGCCGCGGUAAUACGUAGGGCGCAAGCGUUAUCCGGAAUUAUUGGGCGUAAAGAGCUCGUAGGCGGUUUGUCGCGUCUGCCGUGAAAGUCCGGGGCUCAACUCCGGAUCUGCGGUGGGUACGGGCAGACUANAGUGAUGUAGGGGAGACUGGAAUUCCUGGUGUAGCGGUGAAAUGCGCAGAUAUCAGGAGGAACACCGAUGGCGAAGGCAGGUCUCUGGGCAUUAACUGACGCUGAGGAGCGAAAGCAUGGGGAGCGAACAGGAUUAGAUACCCUGGUAGUCCAUGCCGUAAACGUUGGGCACUANGUGUGGGGGACAUUCCACGUUUUCCGCGCCGUAGCUAACGCAUUAAGUGCCCCGCCUGGGGAGUACGGCCGCAAGGCUAAAACUCAAAGGAAUUGACGGGGGCCCGCACAAGCGGCGGAGCAUGCGGAUUAAUUNGAUGCAACGCGAAGAACCUUACCAAGGCUUGACAUGAACCGGUAAUACCUGGAAACAGGUGCCCCGCUUGCGGUCGGUUUACAGGUGGUGCAUGGUUGUCGUCAGCUCGUGUCGUGAGAUGUUGGGUUAAGUCCCGCAACGAGCGCAACCCUCGUUNUAUGUUGCCAGCACGUGAUGGUGGGGACUCAUAGGAGACUGCCGGGGUCAACUCGGAGGAAGGUGGGGACGACGUCAAAUCAUCAUGCCCCUUAUGUCUUGGGCUUCACGCAUGCUACAAUGGCCGGUACAAAGGGUUGCGAUACUGUGAGGUGGAGCUAAUCCCAAAAAGCCGGUCUCAGUUCGGAUUGGGGUCUGCAACUCGACCCCAUGAAGUCGGAGUCGCUAGUAAUCGCAGAUCAGCAACGCUGCGGUGAUAGUCCCGGC